rnacentral:rRNA from 1 species
AGUGAACGCUGGCGGUAGGCCUAACACAUGCAAGUCGAACGGCAGCACAGUAAGAGCUUGCUCUUACGGGUGGCGAGUGGCGGACGGGUGAGGAAUACAUCGGAAUCUACUUUUUCGUGGGGGAUAACGUAGGGAAACUUACGCUAAUACCGCAUACGACCUACGGGUGAAAGCAGGGGAUCUUCGGACCUUGCGCGAUUGAAUGAGCCGAUGUCGGAUUAGCUAGUUGGCGGGGUAAAGGCCCACCAAGGCGACGAUCCGUAGCUGGUCUGAGAGGAUGAUCAGCCACACGGGAACUGAGACACGGUACAGAAUCCUACGGGAGGCAGCAGUGGGGAAUAUUGGACAAUGGGCGCAAGCCUGAUCCAGCCAUACCGCGUGGGUGAAGAAGGCCUUCGGGUUGUAAAGCCCUUUUGUUGGGAAAGAAAGGCAGCAGGUUAAUACCCCGCUGUUCUGACGGUACCAAAAGAAUAAGCACCGGCUAACUUCGUG